GCUUCAGUGGCGCAGGGGUAGCGCAUGAGAUUGCAGUGACAUCACUUCAAUUAUCUCCAGGUCGUGCGUUCGAAUCGCACCUGAAGCU